CUGUUUCUGGUGGGAGGGGAGCCUACACCGAGUACCAUCUGAUUACUCGCUUGCAUGAGACAGGACAAUAUUUAUUUUCACGAAGCUCACCAGCGAGUUUCUGGCUUACCUUCUGGUAGAAUUUAUUACAGUCAAGUAAUUUCAUUGAAAGAUGUGAUUUGACAAAUUGUCAGAGGUUCCCCAAAGAUGUCUCUCCAUCUGUCACGCUUUGCCUGGAUUUCUCGGUAAAGAUGGCCACUUGAUUCCAAAAAUUCGAGAGUGGCAGUGGUGUCUUCGGGAUUAGCUCUGAAGAGACGAUUGUGUGUGAAGAGAUGAGGGGUGAGGAAAUAAAGAUACGGCACUAUUUAGGAAAGACGUUUUUAGGAAUCUUGAGGAAACUAAAGUACAGUAUAUUUGCUGGAGUGCAGUUCAGGGCACUCGUUCACCUUACUUUAUGGCACAGCAGACGUGCUGAGUUCUGUACGAGUUACCAGCCACGAGGUAAGGAGAAAAGCCUUGCAGGAAGAAAAAUCGACAGCUAAUAAAGGACAAACAAAAUAAAAA
rnacentral:lncRNA from 1 species